GUCUUUGUGUGUCUGCACCAGACAGAACUGUUUCGUUUGUUUCGGUGUUAUUCAGUGUUCAGUUUUUUUAUUAAAUAAGAUAAACACUUACCACGCUGCCCUUUGGUCCUCACUUUCUUCCCAAGACAGCCGUUACAGAACCACCCACCAAAAAAGGACCACGCAGCGUGGUAUCGGGCAGCAGCGAUCUCAGGACUCCUGGACAUGGGAGGACGUUUUGGACGGCAAGGGUUGCUACACAUGGGAGGAGAUCCUGGCUGGAAGGGAUCGCCUCCCAUGGGAACAGGUGGAGGCAGCCAGGAGAGCGGAGGCAGCAGACAAAAAGUGUUGCUCCUGCACAGGGAAUUCUUUCCUACCGUGACAGGAGAAACCUUGGCAGCUGUCAGACAUCGUCGAGGAGGGAAAAUUGAAUAUCUAAAAUCUCCAUGGAGCACGGAGAUGGGAAAUGAAUGAGAUGGUGGCAUCCUGUUGGAGGUAUGACGACAUGUUUUCUCACAGUUGGACUUUCAGUGGUUCAAAAGCUCCUCGCGUCAUGUGGAUCUUUUCCUAUGAUAAUCAAAUCAUAAUUUCUGCAAUGACGAUUACUCAGAGGAGGCAGAUGCAGAG
ensembl:lncRNA